rnacentral:ncRNA from 2 species
AUUAACGUUUGAGUGAUGGAGGAACGCAGAAGGCUAAGUUGUGCAUCCUGAUGGAUAUGGAUGUUCAAGUCGCAAGUCAGGUCAAGAGAGAAAUGCUUUUGAUCGGGUUGACAAAGCGACGAUGAGGACCGAAAUUAUAGUAGGGAAGCAACUGAUGUCACGCUGCCGAGAAAAGCUUCUAGCGAGUUAAUAACUACCCGUACCGCAAACCGACACAGGUAGUCGAGGAGAGUAUCCUCAGGUGAGCGAGAGAACUCUCGUUAAGGAACUCGGCAAAAUGACCCCGUAACUUCGGAAGAAGGGGUGCUGUCCUAACGGACAGCCGCAGUGAAGAGGCCCAGACGACUGUUUAUCAAAAACACAGGUUUCUGCAAAAUCGUAAGAUGACGUAUAGGGGCUGACGCCUGCCCGGUGCUGGAAGGUUAAGUGGAAGAGUUAGCUUCGGCGAAGCUCCGAAAUGAAGCCCCAGUAAACGGCGGCCGUAACUAUAACGGUCCUAAGGUAGCGAAAUUCCUUGUCGGGUAAGUUCCGACCCGCACGAAAGGCGUAACGAUCUGGGCACUGUCUCAACGAGAGACUCGGUGAAAUUAAGAUACCUGUGAAGAAGCAGGUUACCCGCGACAGGACGGAAAGACCCCAUGGAGCUUUACUGUAGCUUGAUAUUGGGUGUUUGCACAGCUUGUACAGGAUAGGUAGGAGCCAUUGAAACCGGAGCGCUAGCUUCGGCGGAGGCGUCAUUGGGAUACUACCCUUGCUAUGUGAACACUCUAACCCUGAGCACUCAACGUGCUCGGAGACAGUGUCUGGUUGGCAGUUUGACUGGGGCGGUCGCCUCCCAAAUAGUAACGGAGGCGCCCAAAGGUUCCCUCAGAAUGGUUGGAAAUCAUUCAUAGAGUGUAAAGGCAGAAGGGAGCUUGACUGCGAGACAUACAGGUCGAGCAGGGACGAAAGUCGGGCUUAGUGAUCCGGUGGUACCAUAUGGAAGGGCCAUCGCUCAACGGAUAAAAGCUACCCUGGGGAUAACAGGCUUAUCUCCCCCAAGAGUUCACAUCGACGGGGAGGUUUGGCACCUCGAUGUCGGCUCAUCGCAUCCUGGGGCUGUAGUUGGUCCCAAGGGUUGGGCUGUUCGCCCAUUAAAGCGGUACGCGAGCUGGGUUCAGAACGUCGUGAGACAGUUCGGUCCCUAUCCGUCGCGGGCGCAGGAAAUUUGAGAGGAGCUAUCCCUAGUACGAGAGGACCGGGAUGGACAUACCGCUGGUGUACCAGUUGCGCCGCCAGGCGCACAGCUGGGUAGCUAUGUAUGGACGAGAUAAACGCUGAAAGCAUCUAAGUGUGAAACUCGCCUCGAGAUGAGAUUUCCCAUUCCUUUAUGGAAGUAAGACCCCUGAAAGAUGAUCAGGUAGAUAGGUUAGAAGUGGAAGCGUAGUGAUACGUGAAGCGGACUAAUACUAAUCGGUCGAGGACUUAACCAA